GUUAUCCAUUAUGCUUGGCCAGAAAUACUAUACCUUCUAAUUACUACCUCCAGUAUUACCAGAAAAAUAAAAUUUUCAGUGCAGUAGUAACAUGACACUGCAGGAGAGAGCCACAUAGUUUAAUGACAGUUUGAUGUAUUUGAUUGCCUCUUUGGAACUCUGGUUUUGCAAUUUAGAAAUAAAAAGAUUUAUAAUCCUGAAGAAAAACAGGCUUAGCUCUGUUGAUGCUGUGAGCUACAUUCUGGGCCUGUGCAUUCACCCUGCUAGGUUUUGUUUCUGGUGGCUUCGAUACUACCACCUGGUCAUCUUUAGUAUUUAAUAUCUUAUUUUUUUGUAGAAAACCAGCUGUGUUAAGUGAAAUAUUAGAAAUAGUAUUUCCACUAAGGCUGCUAGCAUCUAGCAAAGGGCUUUUUAUUUCAAAUUUAGUGGUUUAGAAAAUAACUGAACAAUUUUCUUACUAUUUUCAACAACACUGAUGGAGCUGGAGGACAUUAACCCAAGUGAAGCAGGCCAGACACAGAAAGCCAAAUACAGCGUGGACUCUAGAGAUGCUGAACGUAUAGAGGUGGAGUAGAAAGGGGCUGUCGGGGGCUGACCGCUGGGGAAACGGAGAUGAGGUCAGAGGAUGCAAACUUUCAGUUGUAAGAGGAUUCGGUUCUGAGGACCUAGUAUACACAUGUGAGGGCAGCUGAUAACACUUAGUUACUUCCUUCAUUGCCAGGACAAAAUACCCGGCAACCACAACUUAAAGAGAGGUUUAUUCUGGCUCACAUCUUCGUCUACAGUCAGCGGGCUCCCGCACUGAACAGCAGGAGAGAGAGCCUGGCGGAGGCACCGCCCACAACAUGGCGGACCGGAAGCAGCGCGGAAGGGAGGAGCCACAGGGAGACGAACCCUUCCUGGCCACGCCUCUUCCAGCCAGGCCCCGCCUCCUACCGGCCACUCCGGGGAGCCUCCAGGAUUUGAUCACCUUCCGAAGUUCGCACCUAUGAGUGCAGGAGGCUUCCGGGGGACAGACUGGUAUCAUCCAUGACAGAUACUGGGCGUGCACUUGAAAUUUGCUAAGCGAGCUGAUCUCUGCCCUCCCUUCACCCCACCGAAUGAUGCCUGCAGUUGUGUAAACUGAAGAACCUGACCCUGGAAAUGCCAGAGCUGAGACUGGGGAACGGGCUCCCUCGGGCGGGUCUCCAGGCAGUUCACAACACUCAGGAGUCAGGUUGAUUUCCGUUAGAAAGGGGGUUAGUGCAAGGGGAGGUUGCAGGCCUGUUUAAAAAUUUAUUCAUUACAAACCUUGUAGAAGGAAUUGACUUUCACAUUAUCACUUUGACAAGACCGACAACUUUGUUUACCGCCUGAGGGGAGGCGGCCACUGCGCAGCCGCUUCCACACGAGUCCUCGAGUAAGGGUGGGCGCCAGGGCCAGCUGGGCAGCUGUGACCCUCGGCCUCUGUCCCGGGGACCCUGCCUUCCAACUCAGAGCUCAUGGGACCCCCGCUACCUGGCUCGGCCUUCCCCUUCUCCAAGUUCACCAUCUUCUCCCAGGCAGGACCCCCACCGUAUCUGUAAGCAGAAUGGAGUUGCCUUCGAGGUGGUUUCGGCCUGUAAAUAAUUCCUCUGAUGGACAACUAAAAUCACUAUGAGGAUGUGGAGAGCUGAAAAUGCAGGUCUGCGUGUGUGUACAGCGGCUGUAUUCACACCUGCGGAGACGUGGGCGUCACCAGGACUGAGCUACUCAGGAGGCUGAAGCAGGAGAAUCUCAAGUUUGAGGAUACCCUGGACAACUUAAACUGAGUCAGAAGCCUGGACUGACUGAAACCUAAUUGAUAGCCACCACCGAACAUCAGAUUCCCAGGGUUAGAAGAAGCUUGGUUUUCCUUUUUCCUGCUCAGCUUGCCUGACUGCUUCACAUCCUCAAGUUGGAUGCUUCUUCAGUAAUUCUCCCUGCUCACCUGUCUGAAGAAGUGGCAAAUUCCACCUGUGUGGAGAAGACCACAGCUGCUGGAUACAGGAGCCCUCGGUUUCUCCUUGGAGCUGGAGUUUGUUCUAAUGCACUGCACUUGGUUGUGUGUGGUGCUUUGGUCUCCCCUGCUGCACGGAGACCCAGACCCUGGCAUGCAGGCAAGAUUCACACCACCUUGCACACCCGUCUGGUUCAGAGCACAGGGCCUGGCUGACAGCAAGGGCUCAGCAUGCAAGAACAAAUGGACACUGCAGCUCGUGGGACACAUUCAUUCAUCCCUUGGACAAGUGCUUUGCACAGUGAGCUUUAAUACGAGAAUGCACACCAGUAACUUUACCUAUAGCAAUUUACCAGAUAAACAAUGCAUGCACUUAAAUACCAUGUGUGGUGCCAUUUGUCAUUCUGCUCAUCUUAACUUCAUCAAUUUUUCAGGAACUCCCGGCAGAUGGCACCCAUAAUACUGUCAUGGGCUUGGAAGCUGGCUGGUUUCAACAUGAACUUAAAAGUCAAAAUGAAUAAACCUUCCUUCAUUCAAUUAAUAAUAACUCACAUUUAUUUGGCAUUUUCCCAUUUACAAAAUGCUUUUAAAUCCUUGUGUCAGUUCUGUGACAAAUUCUGUCAGCAUACUGAGAGAAUUUUACUAUGCACUUCAGAUUCCCGUGGAUGUGCUGUUUAGUUGCACUGCAGGAUAAUUUAUGCUGGUUAACGACGAUGCCAUUGGUUUAUAUUCUAAAUACACCAACCUGGCAAAGACACAGAUUGUCUGUGGAUCCUUCAGACAUGAUCCUACCAGUGAGAACCAACAGAGCUCGGAGGACUAAUAACUCCACGAACUGCUUCUCUGGCUCGUCACAGUCAG